rnacentral:rRNA from 1 species
GACGAACGCUGGCGGCGUGCUUAACACAUGCAAGUCGAACGGAAAGGCUCUGCCUGGCUGGGACACUCGAGGGGAAAACGGGAGAAAAACACGUGUGAGAUGCGCCGUGCUCUUUGAUAUACCCGUGAAACAGUGGCUCAAACACCAGAUAAGACCUUCUUAUAGUGACGGUGGGAAAAAUUUUUCCGGGGAGGAAGAACUCCCCGCCCAACCACUUGGUGGGGGGGGAAAGGCCCAACCAGGGCGCCAACGGUAACCCGGCCGAAAAGGGGGACCGGCCCCUUGGGAACGAAAAUCCGGCCCAAACCCCAACGGAAGGCACCAGGGGGAAAUAUGGCCCAUGGGCCCCAACCUGAAUGCACCAACCCCCCGGGGGGAACAACGGCCUCCGGGUGGAAACCCCCUUCCCCCGAGAACAAACAUUAUGUGACGGUACUUAGAUAAGAAGCACCGGCUAACUACGUGCCAGCGGCCGCGGUAAUACGUAGGGUGCGAGCGUUGUCCGGAAUUACUGGGCGUAAAGAGCUCGUAGGUGGUUUGUCGCGUCGUCUGUGAAAUUCCGCAGCUUAACUGCGGGGCGUGCAGGCGAUACGGGCAUAACUUGAGUGCUGUAGGGGAGACUGGAAUUCCUGGUGUAGCGGUGAAAUGCGCAGAUAUCAGGAGGAACACCGAUGGCGAAGGCAGGUCUCUGGGCAGUUACUGACGCUGAGGAGCGAAAGCAUGGGUAGCGAACAGGAUUAGAUACCCUGGUAGUCCAUGCCGUAAACGGUGGGCGCUAGGUGUGAGGGUCUUUUCACGACUUUUGGGCCGUACCUAACGCAUUAAGCGCCCCCCCUGGGGGAGUACGGCCGCAAGGUUAAAACUCAAAGGAAUUGACGGGGGCCCGCACAAGCGGCGAAGCAUGUGAAUUAAUUCAAUGCACCGCGAAAAACCUUACCUGGGCCUGACAUACACCGGAUCGGGCUAAAAAUAGUCUUUCCCUGUGGGGGGGGUGUACAGGGGGCACAGGGGUGUUCUCAUCUCGUGUCGAGAGAUGGGGGUUAAGUCCCGCACAGAGCGCACCCCUUGUCUUAUGUUGCCACCGCAUGAGGGUGGGGACUCAUGAGAGACUGCCGGGGUCAACUCGGAGGAAGGUGGGGAUGACGUCAAAUCAUCAUGCCCCUUAUGUCCAGGGCUUCACACAUGCUACAAUGGUCGGUACAACGCGCAGCUUCCCUGUGAGGGGGAGCGAAUCGCUGAAAGCCGGCCUUAGUUCGGAUUGGGGUCUGCAACUCGACCCCAUGAAGUCGGAGUCGCUAGUAAUCGCAGAUCAGCAACGCUGCGGUGAAUACGUUCCCGGGCCU